rnacentral:rRNA from 1 species
GAGAAGUGGUGGAGCGCUUGGAAGUGAGAAUGCCGGUAUGAGUAGCGAAAAGAGGGGUGAGAAUCCCCUCCACCGUAAGCCUAAGGUUUCCUGAGGAAGGUUCGUCCGCUCAGGGUUAGUCGGGACCUAAGCUGAGGCCGAAAGGCGUAGGCGAUGGACAACAGGUUGAUAUUCCUGUACCACCUAUUUUCGUUUGUACGAUGGGGGGACGCAGGAGGGUAGGGAAUCGCGCGACUGGAAGUGCGCGUCCAAGCAGUGAGGCCGAAAGGAUAGGCAAAUCCGUCCUUUCUAUAGGCUGGGCUGUGAUGGCGAGGGAAAUCAUCAGUACCGAAGUUCCUGAUCUCACACUGCCAAGAAAAGCCUCUAGGAGAAAAUAGGUGCCCGUACCGCAAACCGACACAGGUAGGCGAGGAGAGAAUCCUAAGGUGCUCGGGAAAACUCUCGUUAAGGAACUCGGCAAAAUGACCCCGUAACUUCGGGAGAAGGGGUGCCCCGGUAGGGUGAAAGCCCGAGGGGGCCGCAGUGAAGAGGUCCAGGCGACUGUUUAGCAAAAACACAGGUCUCUGCUAAGCCGCAAGGCGAUGUAUAGGGGCUGACGCCUGCCCGGUGCUGGAAGGUUAAGGGGAAGGGUUAGCGCAAGCGAAGCUCUGAACCGAAGCCCCAGUAAACGGCGGCCGUAACUAUAACGGUCCUAAGGUAGCGAAAUUCCUUGUCGGGUAAGUUCCGACCCGCACGAAAGGCGUAACGAUCUGGACGCUGUCUCAACGAGAGACCCGGUGAAAUUGUACUGCCAGUGAAGAUGCUGGCUACCCGCGACAAGACGGAAAGACCCCGUGGAGCUUUACUGUAGCCUGAUAUUGAAUCUAGGUACGACUUGUACAGGAUAGGUGGGAGUCUGAGAAGCCGGAGCGCCAGCUUCGGUGGAGACGCCGGUGGGAUACCACUCUGGUCGUAUCGGGGUUCUAACUCGCCGCCGUCAUCCGGCGGGAGGACCGUGUCAGGUGGGCAGUUUGACUGGGGCGGUCGCCUCCUAAAAAGUAACGGAGGCGCUCUAAGGUUCCCUCAGCGCGGUCGGAAAUCGCGCUCUAGAGUGCAAAGGCAGAAGGGAGCUUGACUGCGAGACCUACAAGUCGAGCAGGGACGAAAGUCGGACUUAGUGAUCCGGUGGUUCCGAGUGGAAGGGCCAUCGCUCAACGGAUAAAAGCUACCCCGGGGAUAACAGGCUUAUCUCCCCCAAGAGUCCACAUCGACGGGGAGGUUUGGCACCUCGAUGUCGGCUCAUCGCAUCCUGGGGCUGUAGUAGGUCCCAAGGGUUGGGCUGUUCGCCCAUUAAAGCGGUACGCGAGCUGGGUUCAGAACGUCGUGAGACAGUUCGGUCCCUAUCUGUCGUGGGCGUAGGAAAUUUGAGAGGAGCUGUCCUUAGUACGAGAGGACCGGGAUGGACGCACCUCUGGUGUACCAGUUGUUCCGCCAGGAGCACCGCUGGGUAGCCAAGUGCGGACGGGAUAAGCGCUGAAAGCAUCUAAGCGCGAAGCCCCCCUCAAGAUGAGAUUUCCCAUUCCCCUGUGGAAGUAAGACCCCUUGUAGAUGACGAGGUUGAUCGGUCCGAGGUGUAAGCGUAGCAAUGCGUUUAGCUGACGGAUACGAAUCGGUCGAGGGCUUAUCCUA